AGAGUUUGAUCAUGGCUCAGAGCGAACGCUGGCGGCAGGCCUAAUACAUGCAAGUCGAACGGCUCUUCGGAGCAGUGGCGGACGGGUGAGUAACGCGUGGGAACGUGCCCUUUGGUUCGGAACAACACAGGGAAACUUGUGCUAAUACCGAAUGUGCCCUUCGGGGGAAAGAUUUAUCGCCAUUGGAGCGGCCCGCGUUGGAUUAGCUAGUUGGUGGGGUAAAGGCCCACCAAGGCUACGAUCCAUAGCUGGUCUGAGAGGAUGACCAGCCACACUGGGACUGAGACACGGCCCAGACUCCUACGGGAGGCAGCAGUAGGGAAUCUUGCGCAAUGGGCGAAAGCCUGACGCAGCCAUGCCGCGUGAAUGAUGAAGGUCUUAGGAUUGUAAAAUUCUUUCACCGGGGAAGAUAAUGACGGUACCCGGAGAAGAAGCCCCGGCUAACUUCGUGCCAGCAGCCGCGGUAAUACGAAGGGGGCUAGCGUUGCUCGGAAUUACUGGGCGUAAAGGGCGCGUAGGCGGACAUUUAAGUCAGAGGUGAAAGCCCAGGGCUCAACCUUGGAAUUGCCUUUGAUACUGGAUGUCUUGAGUUCGGGAGAGGUGAGUGGAAUGCCGAGUGUAGAGGUGAAAUUCGUAGAUAUUCGGCGGAACACCAGUGGCGAAGGCGACUCACUGGCCCGAUACUGACGCUGAGGCGCGAAAGCGUGGGGAGCAAACAGGAUUAGAUACCCCGGUAGUCCAA
rnacentral:rRNA from 1 species